rnacentral:rRNA from 1 species
GACGAACGCUGGCGGCGUGGAUUAGGCAUGCAAGUCGAACGGUAUCAUCCUUUCGGGGGUGAGAGAGUGGCGAACUGGUGAGUAACACGUAGGUUAUCUACCUCAAGACGGGGACAACCCAGGGAAACUUGGGCUAAUACCGGAUGUGAGCAACUUUUAGUUGUUUGAAAGGUGGCGUAAGCUGUCGCUUGGGGAUGAGCCUGCGUCCUAUUAGUUAGUUGGUGAGGUAACGGCUCACCUAGGCAAUGAUAGGUAGGCGGCCUUAACGGGUGGUCGCCCACACUGGGAUUGAGAUACGGCCCAGACUCCUACGGGAGGCAGCAGUCGAGAAUAGUCUACAAUGGUCGGAAGACUGAUAGUGCGACGCCGCGUGAACGAUGAAUCCCUUCGGGGUGUAAAGUUCUUUUAUAUGUGAGCAGUGCUUCUUAUAUUAACAGUAUGGGGAGAGAGAUAUUAGCAUAUGAAUAAGCAACGGCUAACUCCGUG